UGGGGAAUAUUGCACAAUGGGCGCAAGCCUGAUGCAGCCAUGCCGCGUGUAUGAAGAAGGCCUUCGGGUUGUAAAGUACUUUCAGUCGGGAGGAAGGUGGUAAGGUUAAUAACCUUAUCAAUUGACGUUACCGACAGAAGAAGCACCGGCUAACUCCGUGCCAGCAGCCGCGGUAAUACGGAGGGUGCAAGCGUUAAUCGGAAUUACUGGGCGUAAAGCGCACGCAGGCGGUUGAUUGAGUCAGAUGUGAAAUCCCCGGGCUUAACCCGGGAAUUGCAUCUGAUACUGGUCAGCUAGAGUAUUGUAGAGGGGGGUAGAAUUCCAUGUGUAGCGAUGAAAUGCGUAGAGAUGUGGAGGAAUACCGGUGGCGAAGGCGGCCCCCUGGACAAAGACUGACGCUCAGGUGCGAAAGCGUGGGGAGCAAACAGG
rnacentral:rRNA from 1 species